rnacentral:rRNA from 1 species
GACGAACGCUGGCGGCGUGCUUAACACAUGCAAGUCGAACGCUGAAGCUUGGUGCUUGCACUGGGUGGAUGAGUGGCGAACGGGUGAGUAAUACGUGAGUAACCUGCCCUUGACUCUGGGAUAAGCCUGGGAAACUGGGUCUAAUACUGGAUACGACAUGCCACUGCAUGGUGGUGUGUGGAAAGGGUUUUACUGGUUUUGGAUGGGCUCACGGCCUAUCAGCUUGUUGGUGGGGUAAUGGCCUACCAAGGCGACGACGGGUAGCCGGCCUGAGAGGGUGACCGGCCACACUGGGACUGAGACACGGCCCAGACUCCUACGGGAGGCAGCAGUGGGGAAUAGUGCACAAUGGGCGGAAGCCUGAUGCAGCGACGCCGCGUGAGGGAUGACGGCCUUCGGGUUGUAAACCUCUUUCAGCACGGAAGAAGCGAGAGUGACGGUACGGGCAGAAGAAGCGCCGGCUAACUACGUG